CGGAGGGCUAGCGUUGUUCGGAAUUACUGGGCGUAAAGCGCACGUAGGCGGAUCGGAAGUUGGGUGAAUCCCGGGCUCAACCUCGGAACUGCCUUCAAACUAUUGGUCUUGAGUUCGAGAGAGGUGAGUGGAAUUCCGAGUGUAGAGGUGAAAUUCGUAGAUAUUCGGAGGAACACCAGUGGCGAAGGCGGCUCACUGGCUCGAUACUGACGCUGAGGUGCGAAAGCGUGGGGAGCAAACAGGAUU
rnacentral:rRNA from 1 species